rnacentral:rRNA from 1 species
UGGGGAAUAUUGGACAAUGGGGGCAACCCUGAUCCAGCAAUGCCGCGUGUGUGAAGAAGGCCUUCGGGUUGUAAAGCACUUUUGGCAGGGAGGAAGGUAUGUAUUUUAAGAGAUAGCAUAUUUGACUGUACCUGCAGAAUAAGCACCGGCUAACUCUGUGCCAGCAGCCGCGGUAAUACAGAGGGUGCAAGCGUUAAUCGGAAUUACUGGGCGUAAAGGGCGCGUAGGCGGUUAUGUAAGUGAGAUGUGAAAUCCCUGGGCUUAACCUAGGAACUGCAUCUCAUACUGUGUAACUAGAGUAUUGUAGAGGGUAGUGGAAUUUCCGGUGUAGCGGUGAAAUGCGUAGAGAUCGGAAGGAACACCAGUGGCGAAGGCGGCUACCUGGACAAAUACUGACGCUGAUGCGCGAGAGCGUGGGGAGCAAACAGGAUUAGAUACCCCCGUAGUCC